AUUACAAUAAAAUAUCAAAAUCAAUUCUUCACCUGAAAGUCACAACUUGUUGCCCAGUGUAUCACGUUGGAUUGAAAUAAUCUUUACCGUGAAUCGAAAACGUAUAAUACCAGCACGAUUAGCCGGAAAGUUUAACAAACGGUAACAACAAGCACGGCAACAAUCAGCGACCGUAGCGCUGUUAAAGCGUAGUUGCCCCAAGUCACGCGAUCUUGUUUUAUCGAACGUCAUCAGCCAGUCAUUCUUUGGAACAUGGAAGAAAACUUGAACCAUCAAACAUCGUAACCGUGGUUUUUCGCCCCCUCGCCCCAAAACGGUGGGGAUGGAGUGAGGAGGUUUAGUGACAAACGAUUCCAUGCAUCGGCAUCGGCCAUAAUGGCACCGAUUUCGGCACAAGAGUUGCAGGGUUUAAAAAUAAACCAUUAAACUAGCGUUCGAAUUCACUGCCAAAAUGUCGCUGCCGAGAACCGUGACAGUGACAUUCAAUCGUAGCAUUACUAAACAACCCAGGGAGUGUUCUAAUGGUAGACACGUUGGGUUGAUUCUACUAUUGUUUUGCAAUAAUUUAUUUAUCUGUAAAAAUGUACAAACAGUUCAUUCUCUAGCUAGGAAUAUUUUAAUAAUUUGUGUAAGAAAUGUUUCAAUUUAUAAAUAUUCUGAGAUAAUUCUAACGUCCCUCAAUUGGGAGGAACCUUCAAAAUGCACUACUUAAAACCAGGUGCAUACUGUACUACCUAAUGAACCGUGUACCUACCACCUGCCAUGAAAUGCUUUUGCUUUCAUUUACCGUAACCAGUCGAACCGCUACUCGGUAAUAGUGCGCAUCGAGUGUUUCGUAACGCAAAAUUGUUCCCUCACGAAUAAUCUCUUUCCAUUUCGCCCACGGGAUGAGCACGUGUAGGUAGCCAGCAAACUAGUACGCAUUGCACGAAAAAAAAGGUACGUCGUAAGUACGCGCGUAAAUCAAGGCGAUUCUCGAUUAACCUCUUCCGGGCAGAGGGAGGAAACGUAAAUCGUGGGCGAAUAAAAGUAUGUUCCGUCAAACUAAUGCAAUGGUUUCGCUUUGUCAGUGGAUGAAGCGUGGCACGGGAAAGGUGCUAACCGGUUUGAAUAGAUGCUUCAACCAGCAUAACAACAAUCAUUUUGAGCUCAUUAUUGUGCCGUGAGCGGUGAAGCCAUCUAAAAAUAUAUUGCUAGCAACCGGCCAGCAAGGUGCCGGAGGUGUGAUAAAAGUUAGGCAGCAAUGUAAGCCAAUAAAGUGCGUUUAAUAGGAAAA